rnacentral:rRNA from 1 species
AACGCUGGCGGCGUGCUUAACACAUGCAAGUCGAACGAAGCAAUAAAGACAGAAGUUUUCGGACCGAAGUUUUUAUUGACUGAGUGGCGGACGGGUGAGUAACGCGUGGGCAACCUGCCUCAUACAGGGGGAUAACAGUUAGAAAUGACUGCUAAUACCGCAUAAGCGCACAAUACCGCAUGGUAUGGUGUGAAAAACUUUGGUGGUAUGAGAUGGGCCCGCGUUAGAUUAGCUAGUUGGUGGGGUAAAGGCCUACCAAGGCGACGAUCUAUAGCCGACCUGAGAGGGUGACCGGCCACAUUGGGACUGAGACACGGCCCAAACUCCUACGGGAGGCAGCAGUGGGGAAUAUUGCACAAUGGGGGAAACCCUGAUGCAGCGACGCCGCGUGAAUGAAGAAGUAUUUCGGUAUGUAAAGUUCUAUCAGCAGGGAAGAAAAUGACGGUACCUGACUAAGAAGCACCGGCUAA